rnacentral:rRNA from 1 species
GACGAACGCUGGCGGCGUGCUUAACACAUGCAAGUCGAACGAUGAAGCCGGAGCUUGCUCCGGUGGAUUAGUGGCGAACGGGUGAGUAACACGUGAGCAAUCUGCCCUUGACUCUGGGAUAACUGCGGGAAACUGUAGCUGAUACCGGAUACGACACCUUGGGGCAUCCUAGGGUGUGGAAAGAAUUUCGGUCAAGGAUGAGCUCGCGGCCUAUCAGCUACUUGGUGAGGUAAUGGCUCACCAAGGCGACGCCGGGUAGCCGGCCUGAGAGGGUGACCGGCCACACUGGAACUGAGACACGGUCCAGACUCCUACGGGAGGCAGCAGUGGGGAAUAUUGCACAAUGGGCGAAAGCCUGAUGCAGCAACGCCGCGUGAGGGAUGAAGGCCUUCGGGUUGUAAACCUCUUUUAGCAGGGAAGAAGCGAAAGUGACGGUACCUGCAGAAAAAGCACCGGCUAACUACGUGCCAGCCGCCGCCGUAA